rnacentral:misc_RNA from 1 species
AACGCACAUUGCGCCCGCCAGUAUUCUGGCGGGCAUGCCUGUCCGAGCGUCAUUUCAACCCUCGAACCCCUCCGGGGGGUCGGCGUUGGGGAUCGGCCCUUUCACCGGGUGCCGUCCCCCAAAUACAGUGGCGGUCUCGCCGCAGCCUCUCAUGCGCAGUAGUUUGCACACUCGCACCGGGAGCGCGGCGCGCCCACGUCCGUAAAACACCCCAAACUUCUGAAAUGUUGACCUCGGAUCAGGUAGGAAUACCCGCUGAACUUAA